rnacentral:rRNA from 1 species
CAAUCAAGUGUCUUAAGGGCAAUUAGUGGAUGCCUUGGCAUGCACAGGCGAUGAAGGACGUGAUACGCUGCGAUAAGCGUCGGGGAGGUGCGAAUACCCUUUGAUCCGACGAUUUCCGAAUGGGGAAACCCACCUAAAAUACUUGGAAAAUCAGAGUGGCAGGCGACUGCUGCUGUGGUUUCCAAGUAUUUAUUAUAGGUAACUUACCCUGAAUAUAUAGGGGUAAAGUGGCGAACGCGGGGAACUGAAACAUCUAAGUACCCGUAGGAAAGGACAUCAACCGAGACUCCGGAAGUAGUGGCG